GGAAGAUUAGAUGAUAACUUAAAACAAGAGGGGCUUCCUGGGCUGAGGAGACAACACUGAAAGCUUCGUGAAGAAUUUGGAGAAUGCCACAGCAGAGAAAGCUGGAAUCAAGUGACUUUCUCCUCUGUAUAUCUGAGCAACGCAGUUUCUCCAUCUCUGUAUAAAGGCCCUUGGUCGUGAAUUCCCGUGCAUUUUGCUCCAAUUCACACCCGUUCUCUUCUCCUCUUCACUUCUUCGCCGUCCCUGCCGCUGCGGCUCCAACCCGGACGAUCAUCACCUCCCAUGGUA